CCUACGGGUGGCAGCAGUAGGGAAUUUUCGUCAAUGGGCGCAAGCCUGAACGAGCAAUGCCGCGUGAACGAGGAAGGUCCUCGGAUCGUAAAGUUCUGUUGAAGGGGAAACAGAGCGGAGAGAGGAAAUGGUCUCCGAUUGAUAUUACCCUUCGAGGAAGUCACGGCUAACUACGUGCCAGCAGCCGCGGUAAUACGUAGGUGGCGAGCGUUAUCCGGAAUGAUUGGGCGUAAAGGGUGCGUAGGCGGCCUGCUAAGUCUGGAGUGAAAGGUACCGGCUCACCCGGUACAGGCUCUGGAAACUGGCGGGCUAGAGAGCAGGAGAGGGCGGUGGAACUCCAUGUGUAGCGGUAAAAUGCGUAGAUAUAUGGAAGAACACCAGUGGCGAAGGCGGCCGCCUGGCCUGUUACGGACGCUGAGGCACGAAAGCGUGGGGAGCAAAUAGGAUUAGAUACCCGUGUAGUC
rnacentral:rRNA from 1 species